GAGAAAUGUCUGUUCUUCCAACAGUCCGUCUCCUUCUUAGGGUACCGCAUUUCCACGUCAGGCGUGGAGAUGGAGAGUGACCACAUUUCAGCCGUGGGUAAUUGGCCGACUCCCACCACAGUAACGGAAGUGCAGCGGUUUCUAGGGUUUGCCAACUACUACAAGAGGUUUAUCUGGGGUUUUGGUCAGGUAGUAGCUCCCAUUACCUCACUGCUGAAGGGGGGACUGGUGCGGCUGCAGUGGUCGGCUGAGGCGAACAGGGCUUUUGGUCACCUGAAGGCUCUGUUUACCUCGGCCCCUGUGCUGGCUCAUCCGGAUCCCUAUUUGGCAUUCAUAGUGGAGGUGGACGCGUCUGAGGCUGUUGUCAAGGCUCUGAAGGCGUGGAGACAUUGGCUUGAGGGGGCUAAACACCCUUUUCUCAUCUGGACUGACCACCGCAAUCCGGAGUACAUCCGGGCGGCAAGGAGACUGAACCCUCGCCAGGCAAGGUGGGCUAUGUUCUUUACCCGUUUUGUUUUCACUCUAUCCUACAGACCAGGUUCCCAGAACGCUAAGGCAGACGCACUGUCCCGGAUGUAUGACACAGAGGAGCGGUCCAUAGAUCAAACUCCCAUACUUCCGGCCUCUUGCCUGAUGGCACCGGUGGUGUGGGAGCUGGACGCGGACAUCGAGCGGGCAUUAUUCACAGAGCCCACUCCCCCCAGUGUCCAGCUGGGCGCCUGUACAUUCCGUCUGCUGUCCGCAACCGUUUCAUCUAUUGGGCCCAUACGGCACCCUCCUCUGGUCAUCCUGGCAUCGGUCGGACGGUGCGUUGCCUUAGUGGGAAGUACUGGUGGCCCACCUUGGCCAAGGACAUGAGGGUUUAUGUUUCCUCCUGCUCGGAGUGCACCCCGUGCAAGGCUCCCAGGCACCUGCCCAGAGGGAAAUUACAACCCCUACCCGUUCCACAAUGGCCGUGGUCACACCUGUCAGUGGACUUCCUGACGGAUCUUCCUCCCUCACAGGGAAACACCACGAUCCUGGUCAUUGUAGAUUGGUUUUCUAAGUCCUGUCAUCUCCUCCCUUUGCCCAGUCACCCUACGGCCCUACAGACUGUGGAGGCCCUGUUCACUCAUGUCUUCCGGCACUACGGGGUGCCCGAGUACAUAGUUUCUGAUUGAGGUCUUCAGUUCACGUCCAGGGUCUGGAGAGUGUUCAUGGAACGUCUGGGGGUCUCGGUCAGCCUCACCUCAGGUUUUCACCCUGAGAGUAACGGGCAGGUGGAAAGAGUAAACCAGGAUGUGGGUAGGUUUCUGCGGUCAUAUUGCCAGGAGUGGGCGGCGUUCAUCCCCUGGGCAGAGAUGGCCCAAAACUCACUCCGCCACUCCUCCACUAACCUCUCUCCUUUUCAGUGCGUACUGGGGUAUCAGCCGGUUCUGGCACCGUGGCAUCAGAGCCAGAUCGAAGCUCCUGCGGUGGACGAAUGGUUCAAGUGCUCGGAGGAGACCUGGGACGCCGCCCAUGUGCACCUACAACGGGCCGUGAGGCGGCAAAAAGCGGGCACUGACCGCCACCGCAGCGAGACCCCGGUGUUUGCACCGGGGGACCGGGUCUGGCUCUCGACGCGAAACCUGCCCCUCCGCCUGCCCUGCCAGAAGCUGGGCCGGUGGUGGCUGGUCCACUCCAGGAAGCUGAGGUGCGGGAGGUUCCUCCGCCCCCUCUAGACAUUGAGGGGGCCCCGGCGUAUGCUGUUCGAGCUAUCCUGGACUCGAGGCAUCGGGCGAGGGGCCUUCAGUACCUCGUGGAUUGGGAGGGGUACGGUCCAGAGGAUAAAUGCUGGGUGCCAGUGGAGGACGUCCUGGACCCUUCGUUGCUGCGGGAUUUCCACCGUCUCCAUCCGGAUCGCCCUGCGUCUCGUCCUCCGGGUCGUCCCCGAGGUCGGUGUCGGCAAGGGGGGUACUGUCACGACUUCCACCGAAGUCGGUCCCUCUCCUUGUUCGAGCGGCGUUCGGCGGUCGACGUCACCGGCCUUCUAGCCACCGCCAAUCCACUUUUCAUUUUCCAUUUGUUUUGUCUUUGUUUUACACACCUGAUUUCAGUCCCACAAUUACUUGUUAAUUAUUAAACCCUCGGUUCCCCCAUAGGUUUUUGUGAGUGAUUGUUUGUUGAAUUUUCGGCCUGUCAUGGUGUGCGUGUAUUUGUUACUUUGUAUAUUUGACAUUUUGAGUAAAAGUACGUUGAUUACUCAUAUCUGCAGUCCUGCGCCUGACUCUCUACACCAGCUACACCUAGGACCCAUUUUUCCUAUUCUGUUGCAUCACAACCUGUAAUUUAAAUAGAUUUUUAUUUGGACUUCAUGUAAUUGACAUACACAAAAUAGUCCAAAUUGGUGAAGUGAAAUGAAAAAAAUAUCUUGUUUCAAAAAAUUCCAAAACAUAUAAAACCGUAAAAGUGAUGCGUGCAUAUGUAUUCACCCCGUUUGCUAUGAAGCCCCUAAAUAAGAUCUGGUGCAACCAAUUACCUUCAGAAGUCACAUAAUUAGUUAGAAUGCACACAUGUGGACUUUAUUUAAGUGUCACAUGAUCUGUCACAUGAUCUCAGUCUAUAUACACACCUGUUCUGAAAGGCCCCAGAGUCUGGAACACCACUAAGCAAGGGACACCACUAAGCAAGCGGCACCAUGAAGACCAAGGAGCUCUCCAAACAGGUCAGGGACAAAGUUGUG
rnacentral:lncRNA from 1 species